AAAAUCCCUAAAGACGGUUAAAAAUAGGGUUGGUCAAAGACUAAUGUAUAUUCCUACAUAUAAGGAAUACACUGUGUUACAUGAUUUCUUUACACAGUUUGAGGAUAUAAAAAUAUUUGUAAAGAAAAUUCAUGAAGGAUAAUGAGCUUGUUUGUCAUCAUGCGAUAAAAGCAUGUUGCGAGAUAAUUGGCAUAAAGGAUAUGUAUGCCAAAGUACAAGGAGGAAUGUAAAAGCAUUCUUUAUUGGUUUAUUGCAACAGUGAUACAGAAGCAACAUUACAAGUACUAUAUUUACAGAUA